AAAUUGAAGAGUUUGAUCAUGGCUCAGAUUGAACGCUGGCGGCAGGCCUAACACAUGCAAGUCGAGCGGAAACGAGUUAUCUGAACCUUUGGGGAACGAUAACGGCGUCGAGCGGCGGACGGGUGAGUAAUGCCUAGGAAAUUGCCCUGAUGUGGGGGAUAACCAUUGGAAACGAUGGCUAAUACCGCAUAAUGCCUACGGGCCAAAGAGGGGGACCUUCGGGCCUCUCGCGUCAGGAUAUGCCUAGGUGGGAUUAGCUAGUUGGUGAGGUAAGGGCUCACCAAGGCGACGAUCCCUAGCUGGUCUGAGAGGAUGAUCAGCCACACUGGAACUGAGACACGGUCCAGACUCCUACGGGAGGCAGCAGUGGGGAAUAUUGCACAAUGGGCGCAAGCCUGAUGCAGCCAUGCCGCGUGUGUGAAGAAGGCCUUCGGGUUGUAAAGCACUUUCAGUCGUGAGGAAGGUAGUGCAGUUAAUAGCUGCAUUAUUUGACGUUAGCGACAGAAGAAGCACCGGCUAACUCCGUGCCAGCAGCCGCGGUAAUACGGAGGGUGCGAGCGUUAAUCGGAAUUACUGGGCGUAAAGCGCAUGCAGGUGGUUUGUUAAGUCAGAUGUGAAAGCCCGGGGCUCAACCUCGGAAUUGCAUUUGAAACUGGCAGACUAGAGUACUGUAGAGGGGGGUAGAAUUUCAGGUGUAGCGGUGAAAUGCGUAGAGAUCUGAAGGAAUACCGGUGGCGAAGGCGGCCCCCUGGACAGAUACUGACACUCAGAUGCGAAAGCGUGGGGAGCAAACAGGAUUAGAUACCCUGGUAGUCCACGCCGUAAACGAUGUCUACUUGGAGGUUGUGGCCUUGAGCCGUGGCUUUCGGAGCUAACGCGUUAAGUAGACCGCCUGGGGAGUACGGUCGCAAGAUUAAAACUCAAAUGAAUUGACGGGGGCCCGCACAAGCGGUGGAGCAUGUGGUUUAAUUCGAUGCAACGCGAAGAACCUUACCUACUCUUGACAUCCAGAGAACUUUCCAGAGAUGGAUUGGUGCCUUCGGGAACUCUGAGACAGGUGCUGCAUGGCUGUCGUCAGCUCGUGUUGUGAAAUGUUGGGUUAAGUCCCGCAACGAGCGCAACCCUUAUCCUUGUUUGCCAGCGAGUAAUGUCGGGAACUCCAGGGAGACUGCCGGUGAUAAACCGGAGGAAGGUGGGGACGACGUCAAGUCAUCAUGGCCCUUACGAGUAGGGCUACACACGUGCUACAAUGGCGCAUACAGAGGGCAGCCAACUUGCGAAAGUGAGCGAAUCCCAAAAAGUGCGUCGUAGUCCGGAUCGGAGUCUGCAACUCGACUCCGUGAAGUCGGAAUCGCUAGUAAUCGUGGAUCAGAAUGCCACGGUGAAUACGUUCCCGGGCCUUGUACACACCGCCCGUCACACCAUGGGAGUGGGCUGCAAAAGAAGUAGGUAGUUUAACCUUCGGGAGGACGCUUACCACUUUGUGGUUCAUGACUGGGGUGAAGUCGUAACAAGGUAGCGCUAGGGGAACCUGGCGCUGGAUCACCUCCUUAUACGAUGAU
rnacentral:rRNA from 1 species